rnacentral:lncRNA from 1 species
GUUUGUCCGAAAUCUUAAACCAUAAACCUGGGUUUUAUCAGGUCAUUCUAAAAAUAGACACAGGGGCUGAUUAACAGGUAUCACAGCAAACCACCUGUGUUAUAAUAGAGCCAUACAAUGAGUGUCGUGACGCAGCCCACUGGUACCACUACCGUUAUAACUACGCAACCGCCAGUAGGGGAACCUGUCGAUCCAAAUUCAAUUGCCUUUACGAAUGCGGAAGAGCAACGCCGAAAAAGGGAAGAGGAACGCCGAAAAAGGGAAGAGAAACGCCGAAAAAGGGUUAACAGAUAUCACACAACACACAGCGACGAUGACACAGAAUAUAUUUUAUGUUUAGCAUGCUGUUGCUGCUGUUGUAACGACAGUGGUGAUUCUCACGGCGGGGACGAUAACUGUGACUGUGACGAUUGCUUUAGCUGAACAGUGCGAUUUUUAACUGAUCGUCGUGAUUGUUUUGCACUUCCAUCUCUAACAUUUAUCUCACAUUUUUCACAACUUCCGUUAUACAAACAGAUGUAAAUUCAUAUUCAUACAACUGGAAUGGAUCUGUAUGUCUUCAAAGGCGUUCAUUCAUUUGUAAAUAUACGUCGAUAUAAAUUAGAUAGAAUAUAAGUUUUAUUUGAAAAACGCAACGAUUAUACAAUAAACAAUCGCUUGGAACAGGUGAAGAUACUAUUUUUUUAAUACUGAUAUGUGUAUACAUUUAUACAUUUUGUUUAAGGUCGGCAAACAGAUUUAAAGGCUCAUAAUGCCUUUGUUUAAAAUGUGACUUCCACAGUUUCCAUUAUGAAUAUAAAAUAUAUUAAUUUCCUGAUAAAUCCUAUUUUCUAUAAUUUUUUUCUUUAAAAUUUGUCAAGGGUUUGAACAUUGAUGAACAUUUCAGCAAGUUUUAUUGAAUAUAUUGCUUCUUAUUACCUCACUUUGAGACUCUAACUGUAAGUUCAUAUGCAGUAUUAAUAAACGAAGCUCUUUUCUAACCAUGUAAUUAUGGACAACAUUUAGUUGGAUAGCUAUUUUAUCUGUUUUUAAUACAAGAUUUAAAACAUUAUGGAACGUUAGACAACAUUUAGUUACAUUUUUCCAAUUAGUUAAAAUAUCCGCUGGCGGGGCAAAUAGUCUCCGUAGAGUUACCAAAGGAUACCAAGACAUUCCAUGCCAUUGUCUAUCCCUGGUCAAAAUUCACAUGCAUUGCUAGAAUCAUGAAAACUCCUAGUAUUCUUUUGCAUGAAAUGUUGUACUUAACAGAUGAUCGUUACAACAUUGUUAAUUCUUGGGUAUUAAAUGUUAAGAGAUUACUAUGUGAACUUGGAUUCCAGUAUUUAUGGGAUAGUAAUUCUGUAAGCAAUUCACAAAUAGGUGCUGUUUUAUAACGAAUUAAAGAUCAGUAUGUACAAAAUGGUUUGCUGACUUAAGAAUUUCUAGAAAACCUGAAACUUACAGAGAAUUCAAAACAGAGUUUAACACAGAAGAGUAUUUGAACUAUGUUACAAGUAUUAAACAAAGAAAUGCAUUGCCAAGAUUCAGAUGUUCUGCUCGUAUAUCAGCUAUUGAAGAAGGUCGAUUAAGAAAUAUAGAUAGAAAAACUUUAGGACUUUGUACAAAAUGCAGUAUGCAAGUUGUUGAAUCAGAGUACCAUUUUUAUUGAUAUGACCGUAUUCACUCUGAACUGAGAACUUUGCAUUUACCUAGAUACUGUUAUACAUGACCAAAUUUGAACAAGUUUAGGGUUAUAAUGGAAUCUUCAAAGAAAAGUGUUCUGCUUAAAUUUAAUAGCCAUAUUUAUCUAUCUUGCAACAGUUAAGAGAUUUUCUGUAUACCAAGCUCUUCGAUAGGUUUAAAUUUUAAUCUUGUAAUUCUUGUUUUAUCAUUGCAUGUUUGUUCUCAAAUCAUACCCAUGUCAUACAUUUCUAUAUAUUUGUUUGUAUUCAUGCGCCAAAUAUGUGACUUUGCGAUGGACAUGUAUAUGUUUAAGCCAGUAAACUUUCUUGUUCUUGACACGACUUGGCUAAUAUGUAAGACAGUUAUAUAAUUUAGGGAAAUGGUGUAACAAAUACUAGACUAUGUGUGAUUUUCAUAUUUCAUUUUCGAUCGGUAAACAUCUUGGGGAAAUGUUGCUGUUUAUAGAUAAAGUAAAAACAAUUUAACAUUGAUUUUUGUUUAGUACAUAAAUUCUGUGUAGUGCUCAUAUUUUCAGUAUGAAUUUGGGUCUAAUGUACCUUUAAGACAGUGUUUGUUACGUACCAAAAUAGCAUGAAAUAUUUUGAUAUAUUUUUCUUUUUACUUUUACUAAAAGAGCAAUAAAGACUUUUUUACAUAAAUUA